AAGUGCCUACGGGAGGCAGCAGUAGGGAAUCUUCGGCAAUGGACGAAAGUCUGACCGAGCAACGCCGCGUGAGUGAAGAAGGUUUUCGGAUCGUAAAACUCUGUUGGUAGAGAAGAACGUUGGUGAGAGUGGAAAGCUCAUCAAGUGACGGUAACUACCCAGAAAGGGACGGCUAAUUACGUGUCAGCAGCCGCGGUAAUACGUAGGUCCCGAGCGUUGUCCGGAUUUAUUGGGCGUAAAGCGAGCGCAGGUGGUUUAUUAAGUCUGGUGUAAAAGGCAGUGGCUAAACCCUUGUAUGCAUUGGG
rnacentral:rRNA from 1 species